CCCUUAGAUGUUCUGGGCCGCACGCGUGCUACACUGAUGCAUUCAACGAGUCUAAAACCUGGUCUGAUAGGGCUGGGUAAUCUUUUGAAAGUGCAUCGUGAUUGGGAUAGAUGAUUGCAAUUCUUCAUCUUCAACGAGGAAUGCCUAGUAAACGCAAGUCAUCAGCUUGCAUUGAUUACGUCCCUGCCCUUUGUACACACCGCCCGUCGCUCCUACCGAUUGAAUGAUCCGAUGAAUACCAUGGAUUGAGAGUACGAAUAGGUUCGCUUAUUUCUGCUGCUCUAGAAGUGGAGUAAAUCUUAUCAUUUAGAGGAAGGAGAAGUCGUAACA
rnacentral:rRNA from 1 species